CCUACGGGGGGCAGCAGUGGGGAAUAUUGGACAAUGGGCGAAAGCCUGAUCCAGCCAUGCCGCGUGUGUGAAGAAGGCCUUCGGGUUGUAAAGCACUUUCAGUGGGGAAGAAAGCCUUGGGGCUAAUACCCUCGAGGAAGGACAUCACCCACAGAAGAAGCACCGGCUAACUCCGUGCCAGCAGCCGCGGUAAUACGGAGGGUGCGAGCGUUAAUCGGAAUUACUGGGCGUAAAGCGCGCGUAGGCGGUCUGAUAAGCCGGUUGUGAAAGCCCCGGGCUCAACCUGGGAACGGCAUCCGGAACUGUCAGGCUGGAGUGCAGGAGAGGAAGGUAGAAUUCCCGGUGUAGCGGUGAAAUGCGUAGAGAUCGGGAGGAAUACCAGUGGCGAAGGCGGCCUUCUGGACUGACACUGACGCUGAGGUGCGAAAGCGUGGGUAGCAAACAGGAUUAGAUACCCCAGUAGUC
rnacentral:rRNA from 1 species